rnacentral:rRNA from 1 species
UACGUAGGGUGCGAGCGUUGUCCGGAAUUAUUGGGCGUAAAGAGCUUGUAGGCGGUUUGUCGCGUCUGCCGUGAAAAUCCGGGGCUCAACCCCGGACUUGCGGUGGGUACGGGCAGACUAGAGUGUGGUAGGGGAGACUGGAAUUCCUGGUGUAGCGGUGAAAUGCGCAGAUAUCAGGAGGAACACCAAUGGCGAAGGCAGCACUCUGGGACGUGACUGACGCUGAGACGCGAAAGCGUGGGGAGCAAACAGG